UACGGGGGGGCAAGCGUUGUUCGGCAUUACUGGGCGUAAAGGUCUCGUAGGUGGCCAACUAAGUCAGACGUGAAAUCCCUCGGCUUAACCGGGGAACUGCGUCUGAUACUGGAUGGCUUGAGUUUGGGAGAGGGACGCGGAAUUCCAGGUGUAGCGGUGAAAUGCGUAGAUAUCUGGAGGAACACCGGUGGCGAAGGCGGCGUCCUGGACCAACACUGACACUGAGGAGCGAAAGCCAGGGGAGCAAACGGG
rnacentral:rRNA from 1 species